rnacentral:rRNA from 1 species
ACCAUAGCAUUGUGGUCCCACCUGAUCCCAUCCCGAACUCAGAAGUGAAACGCAAUCGCGCCGAUGGUAGUGUGG